AGAGGAGGAGAUGCUCUGCUGAGGAGCAGUUGCUAUGGUUACAGGGCCUGGACCAUCCUCUGGGGGACGAGAAACAGGAGCGCAGCUCAGCUGGGCUGGAACUGCCCUCCUGGAACUCCCCCAGCCUGCAACCUAGAAGAUGCAGGAACUGAGGCUCAGGCCAAAUCACAGCUCAGACCCCGUGAACCCAAGGCCUGAAGAGAAUUUGGAUUCAUUUACAUUGUUUUGUGGGGACUGGAGAGACAAGUAAGUUCUCAGCUUAACUGUCCUCUCCGGCUCUGACUACCAUUUCUAAGGAUGUCCUCCAGGCCCAGCUAGCCCCAGACUUCGACCCGAUGCGGCUCACCCGCUGCCAGGCUGCCCUGGCGGCCGCCAUCACCCUCAACCUUCUGGUCCUCUUCUACGUCUCCUGGCUGCAGCACCAGCCCAGGAAUUCCCGGGCCCGGGGGCCCCGCCGUGCCUCUGC